AUUGAACGCUAGCGGCAGGCUUAACACAUGCAAGUCGAGCGGGGUGAUGGUGCUUGCACUAUCACUUAGUGGCGGACGGGUGAGUAAUGCUUAGGAAUCUGCCUAUUAGUGGGGGACAACAUCUCGAAAGGGAUGCUAAUACCGCAUACGUCCUACGGGAGAAAGCAGGGGAUCACUUGUGACCUUGCGCUAAUAGAUGAGCCUAAGUCGGAUUAGCUAGUUGGUGGGGUAAAGGCCUACCAAGGCGACGAUCUGUAGCGGGUCUGAGAGGAUGAUCCGCCACACUGGGACUGAGACACGGCCCAGACUCCUACGGGAGGCAGCAGUGGGGAAUAUUGGACAAUGGGGGGAACCCUGAUCCAGCCAUGCCGCGUGUGUGAAGAAGGCCUUAUGGUUGUAAAGCACCUUAAGCGAGGAGGAGGCUUACCUAGUUAAUACCUGGGAUAAGUGGACGUUACUCGCAGAAUAAGCACCGGCUAACUCUGUGCCAGCCGCCGCAGUAA
rnacentral:rRNA from 1 species